rnacentral:rRNA from 1 species
UACAGAGGGGGCAAGCGUUGUUCGGAAUUACUGGGCGUAAAGGGCGCGUAGGCGGCCUGCUAAGUCGAACGUGAAAUCCCUCGGCUUAACCGGGGAACUGCAUCUGAUACUGGAUGGCUUGAGUUUGGGAGAGGGAUGCGGAAUUCCAGGUGUAGCGGUGAAAUGCGUAGAUAUCUGGAGGAACACCGGUGGCGAAGGCGGCAUCCUGGACCAACACUGACGCUGAUGAGCGAAAGCCAGGGGAGCAAACGGG